UUUUCUCUCAAACUCUCCAAAACUCCAUCAACAUUUUUUCAAGAUUUCUUCACCAAAUCUGCAUCAAUUUGCAUGAUUCUUCUUGAUUCAUCUUCCACAAGCCUUGAUAUACAUCUGUUUUGGCAAAUUCGUGGCAAUAGCAUCAAGAUCAUGGACUGUUGCAAGCUUGCACAACAAUGGUGAAUUGAUGAAUCUCAUAACUGGUGCUGUUUCAAGCUAACCUAAUCAUUCCAUUCAACUUCCUCGUCCUUAAGCAUCAUCUGUUUCACCUUCUUGGAGCCAAAAACAAGCUAAUUCGCAUCUGCCUUCAUCACUAGGUCAGUUUUCGAAAUUCUUCAUUGCUCAAAUUGUUAGGUGGUUUGUGUAGGUCUUUGAACGUAGAUUAACAUGAUGUGUUUAGUUUGUGAUUUGGUUAACUAUUGAAUGAGAAAUCGUGAGUUGAAUGUUUGUUGUCCAAUCUUAAAUUGCUCGAUCCCGUCGCUGUGCUUAGAGUUAGGUUAAAUCGUUUGCAUAUCAUUAAUCUAUGUUGAGAGACGGUUCUUUUGGUAUAUGGAUUGUAGCGUUUGGUUGAGUUAUGUUCUUGACCAAAUCUGGAAAUUUCUGCUUGUUCUUGGUGAAGAACAAGUGAAUAGUGCACGUUUGAUCCAUUAUUUCGCUUGGCAAUGUUUGAAAAGUGUUUGGCGCCACCAUUGUCCAAUCAGAGCGCUCCACUGCGUGUAUUUGAAACGGCGCCGUUUUGGCCAAUUUCAUAAGUAUUACAAAAAUGCCAUUCCUGAUUUAAUUUAUUUAUUAUUUCAUUUUCUUUUUCUUUCUUUAUUUCAUUUUGAUGCUUGAUCUUUAGAAAUUCAUAACUAACUCAUUUUUUAUCCAAUUUUGGUGAGAUUUUUUUCAUAAUACUCCUGAUGAUGUGUAUAAUUUAAUCAUGAUUUUUGUAAAUUUCUUUAUUUCAUUUUGAUGCUUGAUCUUUAGAAAUUCAUAACUAACUCAUUUUUUAUCCAAUUUUGGUGAGAUUUUUUUCAUAAUACUCCUGAUGAUGUGUAUAAUUUAAUCAUGAUUUUUGUAAAUUUUUUGCAUGUGUAGAAAAUUAAUUGGCUUAGGGAUUGUUUGAUGUGUCAUAUUUGAACAUGUUUUGCCAUAUCCUUCAUAAAAUGAUGAUACUUUCAAAGAAAUGAAUGAAAUAUUUUGUGCUUGUUCUGGACACUUUGAUGGUGAUUUUCAUGUAGAGUUUGUAAUUUUUGGAUACUUGGUGAAGGAGAUAUGAUUUUUUGAUUAGAGGUGUGACAAUUUGUGUCACACCAAGCUAGGUCAACUUCAUGAUUUUAUUUAAAAUGCUUAGGGAUGUUGAAUUUAGCUGAACUUUUGCAUGAAUGAACAUAAGUAUGUCAAGAUUACAUGAGAAUUUUUCUGGAUUUGUUGAUGGCAUUUUCUAAUUGAUUGAUAAUUUUCUUCUCUAUGUGGUCAUUUGGUGACAUUGUGUGACACAUGUUGGCAUUUCAUUUGUGAAGUUCUCAUAGUGUAUUGGAUGAAGAUGAAAUUCGAUAUGUGGAUUGUAGACACAUUGUAGGACUUUAUGGUUUUGAUCCCAUUCAUUUCUAAUGUGUUAUCACUGCUUUAUGAUUUAUUGAAGUUGGUGCUUAUUUGGAUGCCUUGUGUUGGCUUGUUUGAACUUGUCUGAACUUCUUGAUUUUCAUUGACCUACUUCCUCUUGUCCAAUUGUGAUGAAAUUUGAUAUGCUAUUCAUUGGAUAUGUCCUGUUUAGGUGUGAAUUUUUGUGGAAUUAAUUGAAUUGUUUUGAUAUGCUUUUGGUUGAGAUAGUUCUGUUUGGACUUUUGAGGUUGCAAAUUGCCUAGUUUGUGAUAUUUUGUGCAUGAAAUGAUAAUGGUGAAUGAUAUGAGCAUGGGACCAAUUGCAUUUGCUUUUGAAUUAGUUGAUUGUGAUUUUGGAUAAUUUUCACUUGCUGUUUUGGAUUUUUUAUCUCCUUUGGACCCUAGGCUUGGCCUAGUGGUCUAGUUUCUCAUGUUUGGUUUGGAUUUUCAGGAUGAAAUGCACCAUGCUUAAGGAGAUUGCUUCAAGUUAAUUGAGUUGACUUGUUUGAUGUUGUCAACUAACAUUGAUUUUGUGUUGUAGGGUUUGAUGCUUGAGUUUGAGCUCAUGGCUUGCACUUGUGUGCAUUAACUUGUGUUUGAUUGUACAGAUUAACAUUUGCUGUUUACUGUUGGUUUGUCUGGUGUACUGAUGAUACUUAAUUGAUUUCAGGUACAUUAGUUGCUCACAGUUCUUAGAGAACUUGUUUGCUGUUGCUUGGUUUUUUAAACCAAUUGAGGUAGAAUUCCUAACUCCAUGUAGUCUGGAAGACCUGGCCUGUUACUUGGCCGGGCACCUGUCUGAAGUCCUCCUUAAGAGGCGAUGUUUGUGUUUGUUUACAUUUGUGCCAAGCAGGUAAAGUCCUUGAUUAAGGCAAUUGGCGGAACCCAAGGGAUAUGCAAUCUAUCCCCCGCUAUUCUGUUGAGUCGUCCCUCUGCUCACACGGCCUGUGUUGACGCAUUGGGACAUUAACCCAAGAUCUUGUACAGUGUACAGUUGUGUCAGAGUCUUUGAGCGUAGAAGGGUUCCUCCUUUCUGAACCCACGCUCCUUUGUCUGAAGCUCUCCCUGACCAGGGAUAAGAGCUGUGAGGCACACCCCUCACUCACCUUUCAUCUGCUUCACCUUAGCCCCUCAAUGGCAAGGUUAAGAGCGAGCAUUACCUUGUACAGAUGACUUGUUUCGGCAGUCAAACCCUUUGUUUGAGCCCACUUCUGACUGGAUAUAGUGUGUGCUUUGUGAAUAUUUGUUUGCUCUGUUUUGCUUGUAUGCUUGUAUGCUUGCUUUCUUCCUGGAUAGGAUUAGCUUGCUGUUGCGCAAGUUAGGAUAGAAACCAUAACAUAGGGCAAUGAUGCAUGAUAACACUAGGCUCGAGUACAGCUCCCUAGUAGUGUGUCUCCCUUUGUCUCUGGUUAGAAUUUCUUUCCCUUUCAGGGGAACUACAUCGCCCUGAUCCUCGUUCCAGACGAGGUAUGUAGGCAGGAGGUCGUGCGAGACCUCUCCGGGCACUUUUUUACUUUUUUUGAGUGUGUUGUUGCUUGACGAUUGGCUAGGCUCGAGUUCCCGACUCCUUAGCAACUGUGUUUGUUUGUUCUUGUUGUGUGCUUGGGAAGCCGGUAUAAGUCCAUCAAGUGGCAUCUGGUUCCCAGUUGGGUUCUGUUUGGUUCGGAAGCGAUGUAAGUCAGCGAUGCGUUCGGUUCCAUGUUUGCUUGUUUGUUGUUUGUUGGCGUGGUGAGCGAACUACGGCAGCUCUGAUUCUCGUUCCAGACGAGAUACGUAGGCAUAGGAUGCGAUGUCCUACGAGCUCUCUUCCUCUUAACCCCACCUGGUGUGUCUUCGGUGUGUGUGUGUGUGUGUGUUUUAGCACCUUUUUCUUUUUUUAGAGCGUGGAUCCCGUCGAGUACGACGGACGUGAGGGGUGCUAAUACCUUCCCUUGCGUAAACCGCUCCCUACCUUUCUCUUUGGUCGCGAGACCAUGCUUUUCCAGGUUUCUCUGAGCGUUUCCUUUCCCUCUUGGAUAAAUACGCACGGUGGCGGCUCUGUGUUGUUUUUUGUUUUCAGCUCGCCGGUUGUUUUUCGCAGGAUGCACAGCUUGGCGACUUGCUGGGAUUUCUAGAUGUAUGACAUGUGCUGGUCCAUCUUCCCUAAGCGAGUCUCUCCUAGCGCUCUAGAUAGUUUUAGGUUUGCUUGUUUGUUUGUUUAUUUGCAUUUAUUUAUUCUGACUGUGUACAUAUUUUGCAUAAUAUUUGCAUGCAUCAUACUAAUCAUGGUUGCCGUCCUCUGUGCCAGGUGGUUCCUCUGUUUAGGGGGGUGUUUCUGAGUGGGGCUAAACCCAGGCCCGAGUAUAACACCUAGGAUUAGUGUGGUCUCAUGUUGCCUCCUUAAUGUUUAGGGUCAACAUGUGCCUGGCAACGUUGAUGACCCAAAGCCGACGGGUUCAUUUGAUAGUGCUUUCCAUUGUGGACAGUACUCCACUUUGGUUGAGUUUACUUCAGUCUAACGUGGACUCUGAGUGACGUCAUUCCCGGAUCCUGUGUUUAGACGAUCUUAAGGGAGCUACAAUGGCAACACCGAAGGCAAACCCAUUGAGUAUCUUUGCCCGAUUGUCGAGACUAUUAUCCGCCUUAGGGUGACCUGAUUAGAAUUUACCUGUGAGGGGAGGGUGGUUCUUACAGAUGCAUGUUCAGAUGGUGACUUUGAUGGUGACUAUUGGUUCCGUUGAUCAGAGUCCUAUUCAUGAGUCGGAUUUAUGGUCAUUUAUUGCCGAGACGCCGGAGUGCUGUCCGAGUUAUUUAUUAGUGGGGAUCCGUUUAUUUCAGGAUUCCCCGGGCCGAUUCAGAGGAUUGUGGGUAUCUGCUCAGAGAUUAUAUGAUGAUGAUGAUGUAUCUGUCAGUUCCGUUUAUUUCGGAAUCCCUUGAGUCGGAUUUGUGGUUACAUGUUCAUUCAGAUGGUUGUGAUCAGUCCAAAGAUCAAGGUUUCAGUGCAGAUGAUCAGAUGACUUGGAGGAUGGCAAUGCAUUGCAUUCAUUCAUCAGCAUCAUCAUAUUUUGCAUUUACCUGCAUCUAACACAUGUUUAUCCAUAUGUAGGGACAUUUUUGAUCGAGAUCCUGGUUGAGAGACUUUCUGUUCAGAGAUGAGGACCGGUUUGAAGCCUGAUGUUGCCUACAGUUUCUUCGACCCAGAGAUUGGUGUGCUGAAGGAGAUGAUAGCAUUGAUUACACCCGACCAUGUGGGGAUGUUCAGAGAGGCAUACGGUAGUAUCCUGAAGAUGGUUUUCAGAUUCACUGACAGUGACAGAAGCGCCAUUCAUACUCUUCUUCAGUUUUAUGACCCGGGUCUGAGAUGCUUCGUGUUUCCAGAUUAUUUGUUGGGACCUCUGAUGGAGGAUUAUGCUAGCAUUCUGGGUAUGCAGAUCUGUGACCAGAUUCCUUUCCAUGCUACUAGAGGAGAGCCUGAUGUCCUUGGGAUUUCCCGUGCUCUUUAUUUGAGUCCGGAAAUGAUCAAGGAGGGUUUGAAGGAAAAGGGGAAAUUACCUGGAUUUCAUUUGAGUUUCUUGGAAGCUAAUGCCAAGGAACACCCGUGCUCUUUAUUUGAGUCCGGAAAUGAUCAAGGAGGGUUUGAAGGAAAAGGGGAAAUUACCUGGAUUUCAUUUGAGUUUCUUGGAAGCUAAUGCCAAGGAACAUGCUGCAGUGGGUAAUUGGAAAACGGUUUGUGCUUUGGUUGCUGUGAGCAUUUAUGGGAUUAUUUUGUUUCCUAACCAGAAGAACUUUGUAGACCAUAAUGCUAUCAGAUUGUUCAUGCAAAGGAACCCUAUUCCUACUCUGAUCGGAGAUGUCUAUUACUCGGUCCAUAACAGGAACGAGAAGCGACGUGGUGGUCUGAUCCGAUGUUGCGCUCAAUUGUUGUUCAAGUGGUUUAUGGGGUAUUUGCCUUCCCGAGGUGCUUUUACUCAUUUUGAUCCUACUGUCAAGUGGUCAUUCAGGUUGAUGGGUUUGCGGGCUGCUGAUAUUGCUUGGACUCAUAAUGGUAUGGCUGGACGGGAUUUCAUAUAUAGCUGUGGGAGUUUACCCAAUGUGCCUCUUAUCGGAGUUCAGGGUUGCAUCAAUUACAACCCGGUGCUUCUCAGGAGACAGGUGGGGUUUGCUGUAGAGGGUCCUCCUCUCGGGCGAGAGAUCCAGGAGUCCUUUUACUUCCCGAUUGAUGGCAAUCAGGCCAAGUUGAGGCAAGUGUUGGAUGAGUGGCGUGAUAUCCAGAGAAAAGGCAAGGUUCCUUAUGGUAAGGUCAACAGUCGGUAUUUUCCUCUAUUUGAUGAUUGGUUGCGAAAGAGGAUUGAGAGUACACUUUUACCCUUUCCUGGAGGUGAUCUUGGGUGUCCUAGGAUUGAGGGUCCGAGUUCUUCUGUCAGUAUGGAAGAAUUCCUCGGGAUGAAAAGGGCCAGAGAUCAGUUACUUGCCGAGAAAGCGGAAUUGGAGAUGAGUGUUGCUCGGAUUCAGACGGCUAACCAGGAGAUCAAAGUGAAGAUGGAAGAUCAAGACAAGCGACAUGCCUUGGAAGCAAAGCGCUUUGAGAUGGAUACUGCCUACUAUGGGAAGGUCAGUCAGGCCUUGGCAUCUUCAACAAAGGAGCAUGACAUCACCAAAGAGAGAUUGGCUAGAGCUUCAAAGGUCAUUGAGGAUCAGAAGAGGAGGCAAAUCUUGGUGAAGGAUCAGAGGGACGACAGAGUCCGGGUUCUCAUUGCUGAGUGGGAAGCCAAGCUGAAGGUUAAGGAAAUGGAGAAUGUGAAGAUCACCGCUGAGAGAGAUCGUUGUGUUGCCGAGAGGGACCAUUACAUGGCUGAGAGAGAUCACUACUUCAGGCAGAUGAAGAUUCACCAGAAGGAAGUGGGGAGAUUGCAGCAGGAGAAUACCGAGCUCAGGUUCGCCGUAGAGUUCGCGAAGAUGGAAGCUGAGAUAGAGCCAUCUGUGGGACCCUCAUCAGGCUAGAUCUUUCAUUUGUGUGGAUUACCGUCAGGCUUGUUGACGGAAUUCAUUUGUUUGUAUUUCUUUCCUGAUUCUGGAGAUUUGUAUCUGAUUUGAUGUAUGACUAUGGCACUUUUUUGGUGUGUUUUGUUAUGUGAUGGUUGUUUUCAGUCAGUGAUUGAUCUUCAAGCUUUAUUUGCUUUACCUUAUGCACUCACAAGCACACACAUGGUUGGGGGUAUCAUGCUAAAUCAUAUAUCUCUGAUUAGUACGAUGAAAUCAAAUGCUAAAUAUCAGAAUAUUGCUGCCGGAUUAUUAUUUGUCUUGAUGAUGCUAGGAUCAAGAGACAAAGUGUUCCUCAUGUGGAUAAACACUGCAUUCAUGCAUGAUCAUAAUAACCUGUGUUUUAUUUUGCAGGUAUCUAUUGCUAACAUGCUUGAUUGUUUCAGGAAUCAUUGCUCGUGCUCGCAGAGUCAUACCUUUGCACUCAACUAGACCUCACAGAUACUUCACAAGACGCAACACUCCCAGACUGAUGGAUCUCCCAAAUGCUGAUAUUCUCGAGCUGAAGGACAAGAUGAGCGAGCUGAUCAACAUUAUGCAAGGCUUUGCAGUUGGUCAAAAGGCUCUGGCUGAUAAGGUCGAGAAGCUCGAGCGGGCUUCAGCAGCAAACAGUGGUGUGAACCUGGAUGGUGUCUCCAACCAGGGUCUUGGUGGGUCUAGAGAUGGCGGCAAGAGAACAACUAUUGGUGUUGUGAACAAUGCUGGUGGUUUUGGUACCGCUGGUGGUCAACCGGGUCAGAAUAUGAAGGAUAGCCUUUUCCCGCCUUUCUUCGGUAUUGAAGACGACAAAGAGGAGGAUAGGGAGGCUGAUCAAUUCUCAAUGCACAACGAGCCAUUUGGUCAGUAUGGUGCUCAACCUCAGAAUAAAGAGAUUCAGCUGCUGGCUGAAAAGAUCAGGGCUUUGGAGAGCUAUGCCACUCCUGGGGUGGUUAAUAUGUCGAACAUGGGGCUAGUAGAGGGGAUUGUGAUCCCACAAAAGUUUAAAGCGCCCACGUUUGACCGGUAUAAUGGGAGUUCCUGCCCUGAGACUCAUCUUCAGGCUUUCGUCCGUAAGAUCUCAGCUUAUACCAUGGACCAGAAGCUGUGGAUGUACUUCUUCAGGACAGCUUGUCCGGAGGCUCACUGGAAUGGUACACCAAGCUAAAGUCCUCAGAUAUCAAAAACUGGCAAGAUCUUGGGGACGCCUUCUUUAAACAAUAUCAGUUCAAUGCUGAUAUGGCCCCGAGUCGUACCCAGCUGCAGGGUAUGUCUCAGAAGAACAAUGAGGGGUUUAAAGAAUAUGCCCAAAGGUGGAGGGAGCUGGCUGCCAGAGUGCAACCUCCUCUAGUCGACAGAGAGAUGUCUGAUCUCUUUAUGGGGACCCUGCAAGGGGCAUUCGCUGAGAGAAUGGUUGGUUGUCCGGUGACCAACUUUUCUGAUAUAGUCGUGGCUGGAGAGAGGAUAGAGAGCUGGCUGAAGCUCGGGAAGAUACAGGGUAACGCUUCUUCUUCAGGGUCGAAAAAGCCUUUUGGUAAUGGUGGUCAGAGGAAGAAGGAGGGAGAUACAAGUGCUGUAUAUGCUCAAAGGGGACCCAGUAGGGAUCGUUACUUCCAGCACACCGCUGCGGUAACUAUUCCUGCUGAACAUCAGCCUGCACCGCAACAGCAGCAACAACAACAGCAACAAAGACAACCCUUCCAGCAGAGGCCUCAGAGGGCUGGCUAUCAGAUGAGGGGGAAAGCUAUGGACAAGCAGUUUGAUAGGCCUCCGGUGACCUAUUCUUUUCUGUUUAAAAAGCUGAUGGAUUUGGGGCUGGUACAAACCAGGACUUUGGCACCUUUGAGACCUGAUCAAAGGCCAGCCAACUAUGAUGAAAAUGCCAAGUGUGAAUUCCAUUCGGGUGCUCCCGGACACAAUAUAGAGAAUUGUAAAGCUUUUAAGCACACAGUUCAAGACCUGGUGGAUUCUAAGGCUAUCAACUUUGCACCAUCUCCCAAUGUCAAUGCUAAUCCCAUGCCUGCGCAUGGUCAAAGGGGGGUGAAUGCGAUAUCUGAGAAGAAUAGGGUUGGGCUGUCUGCCGUCGAUCAGUUGAAGACUCCUCUGGCUGAGGUUAAGAGGCAGUUGAUAAUGAAUGGGGUUCAUCCGGGCUGUGGAGAUGAUUGUGCUGGGUGCACUAACUCUGUUAAUGGGUGUGAACUUCUGAGGAAGACUGUCCAGGGUCUGAUGGACGAGGGGAGUAUUGUGAUUGAGAAGAAGGUUGAUGCGGGGAAAGAUGAGGUCUCCACCAUAACAAUCUACUUUGAUCCGGUGGAUUUGUCUAAUCUCGCUGAAGCGGCUCCAGUUACCAUCACGGUACCUGGACCGAUCCCGUAUGACAAAGAUGAUGCCGUGCCUUGGCAUUAUGGUGGGGAAGUCUAUUGUAAUGGUGAGAAGAUAGAUGACCAGACUGUUAGUGAAACCACCAUUUCAAAGGUGGAUAAUGCCGGUACCAGUGGUUUCACUCGUAGUGGUAGGCUGUUUGCUCCUGAUGCGUUGAGGAGAGAAGAAGGAGAGAAAGAGAAAAAAGAAAAGGCCGAGGCUUUAGCCAGGGCAAAAGGGAAAGCUGUAGUGAGAGAAGGUACUCCAGUAGUGACACCGGCGCCGGUUGGGUCGGAAGAAAAACUUGCUGAUGAUGCAGAAGAGUUCUUGAGGAUCAUCAAGAAGUCGGAGUACAAGUUGGUUGACCAUCUGCAGCAGACUCCUUCCAAAAUAUCCAUUUUGUCUUUGCUCUUGAGCUCUGAGGGGCACAGGGAGGCUUUGUUGAAAAUCUUGAAGAAAGCCUAUGUUCCUCAGGAGAUAACCAUUAAUCAGCUGGAGACGGUCGUGUCUAAUGUGCAUGCCAGCCAUGGGCUGGGCUUUACAGACAUGGACCUGACAGUGUAUGGGAGGAAUCACAACCGGGCGUUACACAUCGCUAUGGAGUGUAAAGGGGCUGUGCUUUCGCAUGUGCUGGUUGAUACCGGCUCCUCAUUAAAUGUGUUGCCGAAGAAAGCUCUGGCAAAGUUGAAUUGUGAUGGGCUGAUUUUGACUCCGACAGAUUUGAUAGUGAGGGCGUUUGACGAGUCGAAGCGGGCCGUAUUCGGAGAGGUUGAGCUGCCGGUGAAGAUUGGACCAGAGGUGUUCAAGUCAACUUUCUACGUCAUGGAUAUUCAGCCGGCAUACAGUUGCCUGUUGGGUCGCCCAUGGAUCCAUGCUGCUGGGGCAGUGACUUUGACUCUGCAUCAGAAGCUGAAGUAUAUCUGGGAAGGACAGGUUGUCACUGUGUGCGGAGAAGAGGACAUCUUUGUCAGCCACUGUCGUACCCCAAUUUUGUCCGGGCAUUUUUAAUUUUUUUUCGUAGAAUUAAUUUCAUUUUUAAUUUAGCAUCAUAUGCAUAACAUUACAUACAUUGCAUCAUGAAACACCCAAAAUGUCAGUCAGAUUGGACUUAUUUGAGAAUACAGACAAAAUCGAUUAAAUUGUCGAAAUUUGAGGAAAACAGUUUAUUUUUCAAAUAAUGUGUUUUGUGCUGAUAAUUUUGGUGUGAUUGAUUUAAACGUUCCGGAUCAAAUUUACAUUCGAUUUCUUUUUUAAUUGGUCAAUAUUUUUUGUUGAUAUUUAAUUAAAGAAAUUAGAAUAGUUUAAAUAUUUUAGUUAGUUUUAAGUAUUAGCUAUUUUAAUUAAAUAUUAGUUGAUUUUUAAAUAUUAGUUACUUAAUUAAGUUAGUUAGUUUUUUUUAAAAAAUAUUAGUUAGUUUUUUAUAUUAGUUAGUUUUUUUAUUAUAUUUAAUUAGUUUUUUAUUAGUUUAAAAUAUUAGUUAAUUUUCUUAUAUAUAUAUUAGUUAGAUUUUUUUAAAAAGAUAUUAAUUAGUUUUUUUAGAAUUUGUUAAUAAUUAUAUAAAUAUUUUAGCCUUGGAUUCUCUUUUGAUCUGCCAGCUGCUACGUCUCUUCCCACUCACUCUCCACUACUAACAACCUGAAUCCACUCACUCUCCACUACUAACAGCCUAACAAACUCCCCAACGUCUCUCUUCCCUCUCUCACCACACUCACGAAAAAAAAAUAAAAGAGGGCAAUAUUCACAUUCUCUGGGACACGCUUUGGUUCCCUCAAGAAAAAUCCUUCACACGCGUCCUUCUCUCUGAAAAGCUUCCACUCUCCUCACUCUCUGAAAUUUCUGGAAAAUACCACACGAAAGCAACCCUCAAAUAACUCCCUUCACCGUCAACACCAUCGACCACCUAUUACCGUCGCCGCUCGCCUCAAACCACCAACAUCACCCUAACCCAAAUCCUCAUCCGCCCCAUCAACUAAACCCAGCUCACAGCCGCCGUACCUGUCACCAUACAACUGCAACCGGCGAACACUCCAUCUCUCCAAACCUACUACCGCCGCCGCCAUCAUCUCACCAUCAACCUUCGUCCGUCUCCACUACCUUCAUAACCCUCUUCGCCGCUAGCUCCGCCGUUUCACCCUUCGUUCCAACCGCUAACCACCCUUCACCAUCAGCGUCGUCAAAUCGCCGUCCACGAAACCCUUAACAACCACCGUUAAAACCAGCCACCAUCAAACCCUAAAUCCGCCUACCACCACACAAAUCUCCAACCGUCACAAACCCACCCUCCGUUAAUGCCAAACCCUUAAAAUCAAACCCAUUCCGCACUACCUCUCAACCGUUCCUGUCAAAAAAAAUUUUAUGUUGGAAAUGUGUUGCUGUUGCAAUUUGUUGUUUUUCAGGGAAAAGUUUGAAGCUUUAGAGCUAUGGCCUUCAAGUUCUCGUGGUAUUUGAAGUUUGCAGGAAGGUUUGAAGCUCAUUAUUGGGAACUUUGGAACCAUAGUGAUUUCGAGAAGCCAAGAGGGAACAGCCGUGAAGCCUUUGUUCUUCAAGGAGGAGCAUCUGCAAAACUUUGAUAGAGGACUAUCCAGGGUUGGUCAAUACGACGAACACGAAGGUAACGAUUCAAAACAAAUUUUGAUGUUGGCUUUACUUU
rnacentral:lncRNA from 1 species